rnacentral:rRNA from 1 species
GACGAACCGUGCGAACGUUGUUCGGGAUCACUGGGCUUAAAGGGCGCGUAGGCGGGCAUUCAAGUCAAGGGUGAAAUCCCCCAGCUUAACUGGGGAACUGCCUUUGAUACUGGGUGCCUCGAGUAAGGUAGGGGCAUGCGGAACUGAUGGUGGAGCGGUGAAAUGUGUUGAUAUCAUCAGGAACUCCGGUGGCGAAGGCGGCAUGCUGGACCUUCACUGACGCUGAGGCGCGAAAGCUAGGGGAGCGAACGGG